AUGCCCAUACAUGCGAUGGUGGCGGUGGACCUACCAGUGAAAACCAUCGAAGCUGCAAAUAAGAUAUGUCGCGGUUUUCUGUGGAAGGGACGACGGGACGUGCAUGGCGGUCAUUGUCUAGUGGCAUGGGAUCAUGUGUGCAUGCCAAAGGAACAUGGCAGCCUCGGCAUCCCGAAUUUGCGCAUCCUCAAUGCCGCACUCCGAGCAAGAUGGUUGUUAAUGCAAACGGAGCGCGACCGGCCAUGGAAUGAGUUCAACAUUCAAGUGUCUCCGGACUCCUUGAGCAUAUACAAGGCAGCGACGAAGUGCACGACAGAAAAUGGAGAGGUGGCUUUGUUCUGGACAGAUUGAUGGUUAUGGGAUGGAAGAAUCCAAGACCUCAUGCCAAGCCUAUUCAUUGCAGUCAAAAGGAGAGCGCGAAAGAGAACAGUGAGACAAGCCAUAACCAAAGGUUGGUGGCUAGAUGUGUCGCCUAACAUGAGCCCCCAAGCUCUCACCGAGUUCCUGCAGCUUGUGGACAGAACCCAACAUAUUCAGCUCGUGGAUGGCAUGGAAGAUAAAUUGGUCUGGGCUUGGGAACCAAAUGGGUGCUUCUAGGCGAGAUCGGCCUAUCGGGCAUUCUUUGCUGGGAGAGUGGAGGCCGCUGGGGCCGUGCAAAUCUGGCGGUCAAGAGCGCCGGCGACCUGCAAAUUCUUCGCAUGGCUGGCGGCUCGGGAGAGGUGUUGGAUGGCUGACAGGCUUGCGCGUCGGCACCUACCGCAUCCUCUGGCUUGCCCCUUCUGUGAUCGGGAGCCGGAGACAAUGAACUACAUUCUUCUCGGCUGCGUCUUUGCUAAACAAGUGUGGCUCUCCAUUCUCGACCACUGGGACAAACUAACUUGAUUGCCAACUGCGGAUGACAAUCUGGUGGAAUGGUGGACCUCCAUCAACCCGCAGCCAAAGCUUAGGAAGGAGACAUGGACCGUCAUUGAGUUGGUGGCUUGGAUGUUGUGGAAACACAGAAAUGAUGUAGUGUUCAAUGGAGCGACAGCCUCCACAAGUGAGCUCCUCAGGAAGAUUGAUCUACAAGGGCAAGACUGGAGGGCGGCAGGGCUACUGCGAGAGGCGGGAUCACUCCCGAUUAGAGUAAAUGAGUGGGCUAGUAGUGAGUAA
rnacentral:rRNA from 1 species